AUUGAACGCUGGCGGAAUGCUUUACACAUGCAAGUCGAGCGGCAGCGCGGCCUUCGGGCUGGCGGCGAGCGGCGAACGGGUGAGUAAUGCAUCGGAACAUGCCCAGUCGUGGGGGAUAACACUUCGAAAGAAGUGCUAAUACCGCAUACGUCCUGAGGGGGAAAGCGGGGGAUCGCAAGACCUCGCGCGAUUGGAGUGGCCGAUGUCAGAUUAGCUAGUUGGUGGGGUAAAGGCCUACCAAGGCGACGAUCUGUAGCUGGUCUGAGAGGAUGAUCAGCCACACUGGGACUGAGACACGGCCCAGACUCCUACGGGAGGCAGCAGUGGGGAAUUUUGGACAAUGGGGGCAACCCUGAUCCAGCCAUUCCGCGUGAGUGGAGAAGGCCUUCGGGUUGUAAAGCUCUUUCGGCAGGAACGAAACGGUGGGCUCUAACAUAGUCCGCUAAUGACGGUACCUGAAGAAGAAGCACCGGCUAACUACGUG
rnacentral:rRNA from 1 species